rnacentral:lncRNA from 1 species
AUGGUAGUAGGUGCCAGGCGCACCAGUUUAAGUGUGUCAAGAACUGCAAAGCUGCUGGGUUUUUCACACUCAACAGUUUCCUGUGUGUAUCAAGAAUUGCCCACCACCCAAAGGAUGUCCAGCCAACUGGACACAACUGUGGGAAGCAUUGGAGUCAACAUGGGCCAGCAUCCCUGUGGAACGCUUUUGACACAAUGCCAGUCCAUGCCCGACGCGUCGCCCUUCCAGACGCGCCGAGGCCCUUCCAGACGCGCCGAGGCCCUUCCAGACGCGCCGAGGCCCUUCCAGACGCGCCGAGGCCCUUCCAGACGCGCCGAGGCCCUUCCAGACGCGCCGAGGCCCUUCCAGACGCGCCGAUGCCCUUCCAGACGCGCCGAUGCCCUUCCAGACGCGCCGAGGCCCUUCCAGACGCGUCGAGGCCCCUUCCAGACGCGCGUCGCCCUUCCAGACGCGCCGAGGCCCUUCCAGACGCGCCGAGGCCCUUCCAGACGCGCCGAGGCCCUUCCGAGGCCCUUCCAGACGCGCCGAGGCCCUUCCAGACGCGCCGAGGCCCUUCCAGACGCGCCGAGGCCCUUCCAGACGCGUCGAGGCCCUUCCAGACGCGUCGAGGCCCUUCCAGGACGCGUCGAGGCCCUUCCAGACGCGCCGAGGCCCUUCCAGACGCGCCGAGGCCCUUCCAGACGCGUCGAGGCCCUUCCAGACGCGUCGAGGCCCUUCCAGACGCGUCGAGGCCCUUCCAGAUGCGCCGAGGCCCUUCCAGACGCGCCGAGGCCCUUCCAGACGCGCCGAGGCCCUUCCAGACGCGCCGAGGCCCUUCCAGACGCGCCGAGGCCCUUCCAGACGCGCCGAGGCCCUUCCAGACGCGCCGAGGCCCUUCCAGACGCGCCGAGGCCCUUCCCGAGGCCCUUCCAGACGCGCCGAGGCCCUUCCAGACGCGCCGAGGCCCUUCCAGACGCGCCGAGGCCCUUCCAGACGCGACGAGGCCCUUCCAGACGCGCCGAGGCCCUUCCAGACGCGCCGAGGCCCUUCCAGACGCGCCGAGGCCCUUCCCGACGCGCCGAGGCUGUUCUGAGGGCAAAAGGGGGGGGGGGGUGUAACUCUAUAUUAGGAAGGUGUUCUUAA